rnacentral:rRNA from 1 species
UGGGGAAUCUUCCGCAAUGGGCGAAAGCCUGACGGAGCAACGCCGCGUGGGGGACGAAGGCCUUCGGGUCGUAAACCCCUGUCAGAGGGAAAGAAGGGCACCGGCGUGAACAGCGCCGGUGUCUGACGGUACCCUCAGAGGAAGCCACGGCCAACUCCGUGCCAGCAGCCGCGGUAAUACGGAGGUGGCAAGCGUUGUUCGGAAUUACUGGGCGUAAAGGGCGCGUAGGCGGGGAGAUAAGUCGGGUGUGAAAGCCCUCGGCUCAACCGAGGAACUGCGCCCGAAACUGUCUCUCUUGAGUCCCGGAGAGGAAGGUGGAAUUCCCGGUGUAGCGGUGAAAUGUGUAGAGAUCGGGAGGAACACCGGUGGCGAAGGCGGCCUUCUGGACGGUGACUGACGCUGAGGCGCGAAAGCGUGGGGAGCAA